GUCUACAUCCAUACCAUUUUGAAGAUGGCUGAUCUUGUGUGCUCUCAGAGAUAAGCAGGAUCAGACCUUGUUUAGACU
rnacentral:rRNA from 1 species